rnacentral:lncRNA from 1 species
UCCCAGACACCGUUAAGAAAAUCACUGAGGAGAAAGGAUAUUGGCCUGUACAGGCUUUUAACGCAGGCGAAAGUGCCCUGUUCUGGUAAAAAAGCACCACAAAGGUCUCUUAUUAGUAAGGAAGAUAAGUGAGCACCAGGAUUUAGGGCAGGAAGUGAUAGGCUAACUCUGCUGUUUUGUGCAAACACAUUUGGAUUUAUGAUCAGGAUUGCCCUUAUCCAUUAAAGCUUUAACCCCUGAUUACAUCACACACUUCCCUAGAGGUCUAUAGUGAUUCCCAUUUAUCGUUCACAAUGAUAUUCCUGAUCAUUAGUUUUAUACAUCUCCACCAACAUCCCCCUUCUCCGAUCCUGAGAUCACUGAGCUACCUUGGUUCUGUUCUCAAUUUGAUUAGGAUUGUACUUCUGUCCCUGGUCCACCUCAGCUAAUGCCAUUUGCAGUACUUUUUUCAGCUGUGCUAUUUUUAAUUGAGAAUAACCGAUGCUAGGUGGUUUACAAUGGGCCCACCCCUCCUGUCAUUCCAGUUUCUGUUGUUGUCAAACUCUUUACCCUCCACCCCGCUGAAUGUAUCCCUCCUCUCAUGAAACUGGGCUGAACAGAAAGACGUCUUUAUACUUUCAUAUAAUUUGCUUUUUAAACCUCUCCCAACAGACAAAAAGACUUUUGAAUGCAAUAUAUUGAUUCUGUCCAUUCUAUUUAGCAUUUAAAUAUUCAGGAAAUGAACUGAUUUCAUGGAAAUUACAUUUUCAGUAAUUUAAAUAAUAGUUCCAAUUUUGUUAAUUUUCAUACUUAGAGUCAAGCCAAAAAAUUUCUCAGCCAUGAUGCUGACCACAUAUUC